rnacentral:rRNA from 1 species
ACGGGAGGCAGCAGUGAGGAAUAUUGGUCAAUGGGCGGAAGCCUGAACCAGCCAAGUCGCGUGAAGGAAGAAGGUAUUAUGUAUUGUAAACUUCUUUAGCAGCAGAGAAAUAAGGUGGACGUGUCCACUGAUGCUAGUAUGCUGAGAAUAAGCAUCGGCUAACUCCGUGCCAGCAGCCGCGGUAAUACGGAGGAUGCGAGCGUUAUCCGGAUUUAUUGGGUUUAAAGGGUGCGCAGGCGGUUUUUUAAGUCAGUGGUUAAAUCGUGAGGCUCAACCUCAUCACGCCAUUGAUACUGGAAGACUUGAUUGCGGUUGAGGUUGGCGGAAUUCGUCGUGUAGCGGUGAAAUGCAUAGAUAUGACGAAGAACACCGAUUGCGUAGGCAGCUGACCAAGCCGUAAAUGACGCUCAUGCACGAAAGUGCGGGGAUCGAACAGGAUUAGAUACCCUGGUA